rnacentral:rRNA from 1 species
AUUGAACGCUGGCGGCAUGCCUUACACAUGCAAGUCGAACGGCAGCUCGGGAGCAAUCCUGGUGGCGAGUGGCGAACGGGUGAGUAGAGCAUCGGAACGUGCCCAGUCGUGGGGGAUAGCCCGGCGAAAGCCGGAUUAAUACCGCAUACGACCUGAGGGUGAAAGCGGGGGACCUUUUGGGGCCUCGCGCGAUUGGAGCGGCCGAUGUCAGAUUAGGUAGUUGGGGGGGUAAAGGCCUACCAAGCCGACGAUCUGUAGCUGGUCUGAGAGGACGACAAGCCAAAAUGGGACUGAGACACGGCCCGGGCUCCUACGGGAGGCAGCAGUGGGGAAUUUUGGACAAUGGGGGCAAGCCUGAUCCAGCCAUGCCGCGUGCGGGAAGAAGGCCUUCGGGUUGUAAACCGCUUUUGUCGGGGAAGAAAUGCUCCGGGAUAAUACCCUGGGGAGAUGACGGUACCCGAAGAAUAAGCACCGGCUAACUACGUGCCAGCAGCCGCCGUAAAAC